rnacentral:rRNA from 1 species
GACGAACGCUGGCGGCGUGCCUAACACAUGCAAGUCGAGCGGGAUCCAUCCGGUAGCAAUACCGGUGAAGAUCUAGCGGCGAACGGGUGAGUAACACGUGAGAAACCUGCCCCGAACUUUGGGAUAACACGAGGAAACUCGUGCUAAUACCGAAUACCUCCAUCUGGUCGCAUGGCCGGAUGAAGAAAGAUUUAUCGGUUCGGGAGGGUCUCGCGGCCUAUCAGCUAGUUGGCGGGGUAACGGCCCACCAAGGCAUCGACGGGUAGCUGGUCUGAGAGGACGAUCAGCCACACUGGGACUGAGACACGGCCCAGACUCCUACGGGAGGCAGCAGUGGGGAAUCUUGCGCAAUGGGCGAAAGCCUGACGCAGCAACGCCGCGUGCGGGAUGAAGGCCUUCGGGUUGUAAACCGCUUUCAGCAGGGAAGAAAUUGACGGUACCUGCAGAAGAAGCCCCGGCCAACUACGUGCCAGCAGCCGCGGUAACACGUAGGGGGCGAGCGUUGUCCGGAUUUAUUGGGCGUAAAGAGCUCGUAGGCGGUUCGGUAAGUCGGGUGUGAAACCUCCAGGCUCAACCUGGAGACGCCACCUGAUACUGCUGUGACUAGAGUCCGGUAGGGGAGUGUGGAACUCCUGGUGUAGCGGUGAAAUGCGCAGAUAUCAGGAAGAACACCAGCGGCGAAGGCGGCACUCUGGGCCGGUACUGACGC